GGUGUCACGGAGGCCGAUCUGUCCGGAAAGCGCGCGCUGUGCUCCGGGGCCCGGGGCGUCCCCGUGACCAGCGGCCCGAGCGCGGAAGCGCUCGCUGCGGGGAGGUGGCGGCCGGUCUGCCGUGGGCACCGUGGGGCUUCCCCGGCUCGGGGCAGGGGGCCGGCCUCCCGCGUGCGCGCCCUGCUCGGAAACGGUCCGCUUCCCGGUCGGGACCCGUGGUGGGGUCGCUCCCCUCCGUUUGCCGGGGUCCGCUUUGCCGGCUGCGGAACGGACGCUGCGGUUGACCCGCCGUCGCUUUAGUCUGUGUUAGUGGCUCUGCCGUCCGUAGGGCCCCAGAGAGCGCCCAGGGGAGCCUUUCAGCCGCCGGUCCCUGUCCUCAGAACGCGGGGACUCGUUCGCCCAAAACCCACUCGGGUGAAACCGGGGCCUGCGGCGUUUCGGUCCCCAGUGACCGUGCCGCAAACCCUUGGGAGUGACGUCGGUCGCUCGGGUGUGCGCUCAGAGUCCUCCUCAGCGGGUGCCAGGGUCUUCCGGGUCCUGACUGUGCUCCUCCAGUCAAGGCUGUGUCUUGAGUCUGUGUCCACGUACGUUCCCUACUCUCCUAGUUACUUCGUAAAUGAGUUGCUCUGUUCUCCCCACACCCAGUCUGUGCUGUCUGCCAUCAGUCCUGUGUCGCCUUUGUAGUUGGGGCUGGUCUGUAACCUAUGCUGUGUGCGAGGUGGGCGAUGUGGUAUUUUUCUGCCUUCGGAGGAAAUGCCUAGAAAUUUUACUGUAGUGUGAGACACGUGGCUCUUGGUUGGGUCGAUUGUCCACCCCCUGAAGGUAGGAAUUCGAUUAACUCCAUACGGACGUUAAUCUCUUCUCCACGUUGUCACCGGAAGUAAGGAUGUCAGCAGUACAGGAAGCAAUGGUGUGUGUUUCUACCAAAGGCCUGGAUGUCUGUGGGCUUCUAGUCCACAUCCCAAGUCACAGGUAAGUGUUCUAACUUUGUUAUUCGAUUAGAUCUUCCCUGUUUUCCACGGAGAUGCUUGGAGGAUGACCUGUUAGUUGUGGGCCAGGUUUCUGCUACCCAGGCAAACGGAGAUGUUGGUAAGUCGAGCACGUGCAGAACAUGAUUCUAAGGCUUGAUGAAGUUCAAGCCACACCAUCUCUGCUCCUGGAGGGUUGGACAUUUUCCCCCUUUGGUCCAUGACUCUAACUGCCGUUGGAUUUCUGUGUUCAGAUCAGUUUGCUGGAAUUCUAAUUUUUGUCAUUUGUUGUGUGUUUUAAUUUUUUAUGUUUGCUUAUUUUUGAGAGAGAACAUCAGCAGGAGAGGGGCAGAGAGAGGCGCAGAGAGACACAGAAUGCAAAGCAGGCUCCAGGCUCUGAGCUGUCAGCACAGAGCCAAUAUGGGGCUCGAUCCCACGAACUGUGAGAUCAUGACCUGAGCCGAAGUCGGACGCUUAACCAACUGAGCCACCGAGGCACCCCCCCCCAUUCCUUUUUUUUAACGUUUAUUUUUGAGGGAGACAGAGAGCAGGGGAUGGGCAGAGAGAGAGGGAGACACAGAAUCCGAAGCAGGCUCCAGGCUCGGAGCCAUUAGCACAGAGCCCGACGCGGGGCUCGAACCCACAAACUGAGAUCGUGACCUGAGCCGAAGUCGGACUCUUAACUGACAAAGCCACCCAGGAGCCCCUGUUCAUAUUUUAAUUUAAAAAUAUUUCACUGCUGGAGCACCUGGGUGACUCAGUCCAUUGAAUGUCUGAAUUUUGAUUUCGGUUCAGGUCACCAUCCUACGGUCAUGGGAUUGAGCUCCACAUUGGGCUCUGCAUGAAGUAUGGAGCCUGCUUGGGAGUCUCUAAAAGUUAAAAAAAAAAUACUCCAUCAUUAAAACAUGCUCUGGGGUGCCUCGGUGGCUCAGCCUUGGCUGGCUUCAGCUCAGGUCAUGAUCUCGCGGUUCGUGGGUUCGAGCCCCACAUGGGGCUCUGUGCUGAUAGCUCGGAGCCUGGAACCUGCUUCGGAUUCUGCGUCUCCCUCUCUCUCUGCCCCUCCCCGCUCCCACUCUCUCAAAAAAAAAAAAUGCUAAGCAUCAUCCAAGUUUUCAUUGGCUGUAACGUGUUUCUGGCGGAGGGUCAUCCCUCGAUGCCCAUGUCUGCCGGCCUGUCAGCGUGGUGCCCAUGGCAGGCCAGGGUGGCCGUGGCAAUUUCUUCAAACGAGAAUGAAGUUGGCCGUGUCGAUAGACUCUUCUUCCUUUCACAAAUGAUUUCUCUGCGGCAGGCGGUGCUGUUUGCUGGCCUCUCACCCACAGGAGAAGCUUCUUUCCAAACACAUGUUCUCCAACCUGCCACGGGGUCUCUGAUAUUCUGUCCUUGUCACAUCCGCAAUCAUCCCAGCACCCUCACCAGGAGGAGACUCCUUCUCAAGGAACCAGGCUCUUCGCACCUCCCCAGGAAGUGCCUCCUCGUCCGUUCCCAUUUGGUCCUGGGACGGCAGCGAUUCAGUCCUACCUUCAGGCUCCACUCCUCACUCUGGUUCUCCUGUUUCCACCCCACCUGUGGGGACGGCGUCCCCCGGUCUCGACCCCUCACAGUCAUCCACCGGGGUUGGAAUCAACUCCUUCCAAUUCCUGGUAAUGUUGAUGUUCUGACUUCUUCCCACGAUUCACGACCGUUCUGUGGCAUCUAGGAGGGUGACUCCUUUCUGGUUCACUCUGCCCCAGUCCCUCAGAGGAAUCACCAUCUAUGGCAGCUGUAGCUUCACAAAAUGUAUUUCCUAAAAAGACGUGAAAGUUGAAGACUUAUCGCUCCAUGGGCUGCAGAACAGGCGGACGUUGUGUUGGCUGCCGUGGAAACACUCAUCUCAUUGUUCGUCGUCAGAGCUCAUGGGUGACCCGGUGAGGGGUCAAUGAGCAGUAACAGUUUGAAUCUUUUUUUUCUGAGCAGUAGUCCCAACAGUGGGCUUAAAACAUUCAGUCAUGUUGUAAAGACACAGGCUGUCAUCCAGGCUUUGUCAUUCCACUGACAGAGCACAGGCAGAGGGCAGGGGGCAUAAUUCUCCAGGGCCCCAAUUCUCCAGGGCCCGGGAUGGCCACUGAGCACUGGCUGCCCCGUGAAGUCACUAACUGCAUCAGCCCCUGACAAGAGAGUCAGCCCGUCCCUAGAAGCUUUGAGGCCAGGCACUGACUUCUCUCUGGCCACGAAAGUCCUAAAUGGCCUCUUCUUCCAACAGAAGGCUGUUCAUUUACACUGAAAAUCUGCUGUUCAAUGGGGCCACCUCCAGUCACCUCACCUACAUCUUCUGACACCUGCUGCCGUCAUCUGCACUUGAGGUUAUGGAGAUGCCUUCUUUCCUCAGACCUCAUGACCCAACCUCGGCUGGCUUCAGACUUGUCAGCUUCCUCGCCUCCCUCAGCCUUUGCGGAACUGAAGAGAGCCAAGGCCUUGCUCUGGGACAAGGGACACGGCACAGUGGGUCCACGAAGCAGGCACAGCACGCACAGUGCGUAUUGAUGAAGUUCGCAUCGUACAUCCUGGUUUCCCAGUUACAACGGUAACAUCAAGGGUCCCCACGACAACGAGAGAAACAAUGGAAACAUUUGGAAUACUGCAAGCAGGACACACAGACGUGAAGUGAGCAGAUGCUGUAGGAAAAUGGCGCCUGUAGCCUUGGCACCACAAACCUCCACUGUGUAGAAAACACAGUAUGUGCAAAGCACAACACAGUGAGAGCCGGGGUCUGGCUGCUGGGGUUCCCCUCAUGAAGAGACACCUGCAGCCUUAAUGUGAAGCCCAAGACCUCAUCGAAUAGCGUCUCAAAAGGGUGACCGACCUUUCCUAGUUGAAAGCGAACAACUCAGAAAGACCUGAGAGGCCGUGUUCCCUCCGCCCUGGAGCCAUGCAGGUAGGUGAGGACUAGUCUGAGAGGUGCAUGUCGGCCUUGUCCUGGUCGCCUGAGACUGGCUGACUGGGUACGUUUUUCACUUACUUGCAUUGAUACUCCGGGUGGCCAGGGACCCUGCUGCAGAAGCCACCUGGCCUCGGGAGCAGACAGCUCACGGCACAUGCCUACUUCUGGCCCUCAGCUACACAAAUGUGCUUACUCCCUGUGAAGGCCAAGCUGAAGACCCGGUUCUGCCAGGCUGGCCUCCAAAAACACACCUGGGAACCUUGUUCGCUGGAGAAGCCAGGACCCCAUCAGGCAGCAGGUCCAAAUGGGGAAGGCACGUUGCCAGUUUAAAGCUGACAUUUCAGAAAGAUUUUCCAGGUGUUUCCCUCCACCUUGGAGGCUGUGCGGUUGAUGGGAAUGGGCCUGAGCUCCACGGGCCAGGGGUGUACAGGCCCCCAGGGUUGAAGCUGGAGUGUGCCCGGCCCCAGUGCAGGCCUCCCUGAUUCACUUAUCCCGGGCCUGAGAGAGGGCCCCUGCCAGGAGGGACUGGGAACGGAAGGGGAAUUGUGGGUCCGAGGAAUCUGGAAAAUUCCAAGCCCUCGCCUACACAAAUGCCUGUGAGGAGACAGGACACCCUAAAAUGCGCCAUGCUGGCAGGCUGAUGACUUUGAAGUAAGCAGCCAGCACAGGAGCCCUUCCCAUGUCAGUGUCCGGGUCAAGUAGAGACAAGAGUGGGAGGACCCCUUCCCACAGCUGGAGAAAAUACUUGCAGAACUCGUUCCUGGUAAGUGGUGCCAACCCUUCUGAGAUUGUGUCUGUAGAAAUCUAUGUGAAAUUUAGCAUUGUGGAAACCGUACAAAACUCCUAAAGAUCUGAUCAGUCCUGGUGUGUUAUCACCUGUAAUUCUGUCAUUUGAAGUGCCCUGAGCCACAGAAGUCCCCACAUCUCCUUGUCAGCUGCAUGACAGGAACUAAGCAGGAUUUAAACAUGGCCCUUUUAAGUCCUUCCUCAUUUACAGCGGUUGUGCUUUGACUCCGAUGCUUCUGCAAGGGUGCUUCCUUCUCAAGCAGACGGGGUGAGCACAGACCCAGGUGCUAGAAUGGGCUGUUAAUUUCAGAUGGUACCAUUGACCCAGGGUCAGAUUUACAGAACUCUGCAGGGGGACCCGACAGCCCCACAAAACCAUAACAAAGAUCGAUGAUUCAUUACAUGGAAGUGAAUACUGGGAGGGCAUUUGUAACUGUCAGGACUUCGUUCACGAUCACCUGUCGUGUUCCCGAUAGAAGAACGUCUACUUACAGCAGUUCUGUACAUGAGACCUUUGUAAACAGGAUGGAGGCUUGUGCCCAACAUGAUGCCCCGAGAUCAGCAACCUCUGUUACAUUCCUGUUUUCACAUCCAUCCUGGCGUACGCUCAGCGGGAAUCUGAUUUCGGAAUGGGGCACGGUUGGGAACACUGCCGAGAUUACCAAGGUUUGACCGGAACCAUAUUUGAGAAAGACCUUGUUGACUCCAAACUGGCCAGCUUUUAGGAACUGAGGUUGACUUUAUGGAGCCACUAAAGCCCCUUGGAAAUGUCCCCUUGAUGGCUUGCUUGCAGGGCCCCUGCAGCCUUCCCAGGGGAUCAAAGGUCACUUCCUCACAGCAGCAAGAACUUCCGGAGAUUUGGGGGCCUCGAGAAGAGAGGAAGUAAUCUCCAGCUACAGGCAUUACAAAGACGGUGAGGUAGCAGGGCCCUGAUUCACCUCCUCCCUGGUCGGUAGUUCCUCCUGCAGCACUGAGGGAAUGACUGGACAGACCACGCAGGGAAGGGCAGAAGAGUAACACUGUGACCUGCGGGGGGUGGAAGGACCAGGAACGGAUUCAUCCGGCCAGGACACACAGAGCCACGGUGUGAAAGGGCAACGAGAAUACAAAGGAAAUAAUGCCAGAGCACCUACCAAAAGGUGGGGGUUUGGAGGUGCUGACCAGACCGUGACUUCCCUCCCCGCUUCGCCUGGCCAGUGCAGAUGAAGCCAGCCUGCUGCUUCAGCGAGGCUGGGGCCCCAGUCAGCCCGCCAAGGUGACCCCGGCGCAGCACCCAGUGCAGCUCCAGCCCUCUCUGCAAGGUGACACAGGCACAAAGCACCCUGGGACGUGCCAGGCCUGCUCCUGUGUCAGCUCCACGUGACUGGCCAGGGAACCCCCAGUGUGGAGUACCCCAGAACCACCUGGUCCACAUGCCCUUGGCUCGUGCCAUCCAGCCCAUCCUGGGGCCUCUGUGGAGCACCCUGGGUCCCCUGCUUCAGCUCCAGUGAUCCCACCAGGUGUCCCCUGCACUGAAUGCCCUGGGACCUCCUGGCCUGUACCAACCUUACCUCUGCCUGUUCCCGCAGGGCACCCUCUGCACGGAGUACCCUGGGGUCCCUGUGCCCAUGCCUGCUUCAGCUCUGUCUGAUCAGGAUGGCCCUGGGACCCCCACCUGCACCCACCAUAGUGCCAGCCAGCCAGCCAAAGCCCCAGGCAUAUGCAGUUUGCACAGGCAUGUUCCUGAAUAAGGCCUUUCCUCCAAGAUUGGAGACAGCUGUUCCACCUAACUCACAAACACACACAGAAAGUCAAAAUGAGGAGACAGGAACAUGCUCCAAAUGGAAGAAAAAGGCAAAGCUUCAGAAAAACAACCACGUGAAACAGAUCAGCAAUCUACCUGAGAAAGACUUCAAAGCAGAGGUCAUAGCAGUGCUCGCUGGACUCGAGAGAAGAGUGGAUGGGCUCAGUGAGAACUUCCCCAGAGAGACAGCAAAUAUAAGAAUCAGAGAAUAUGGUAACUGAAAUGAACACACAGGAGGGAAGCAGCAGAUCACAGGACGCAGAGGGACGGAUCCGCAACCUGAAAGACAGGGUCAUGGUCCACGUUGAGCCGCAGGGAAGGAAGGAAGACAUGAAUGAAUAAAAAGGCCAAGUUCAGAAAGCUCCAGGACAACACAAAGCCUGUGAGUGCUCACAUUAGAGGGAUCCCAGAAGGAGGAGAGAGAGAAAGGGAAAGCACUUAAAUAAUAACCGAAAACCUCCCUAACCUGAAGAACAGGAAGGAAGGAAAUAGAUAUUCAGGACCAAGAAGCACAGACAACCCCACAGAAGAUGAGGCCCGGGAGGUCCUCCCACAAUAGAUGAUAAUCCAGUGGUCAACGAUUAAAGAGAGAGAGAAUCUUAAAAACAACGGUAGAAAAGCAACCAGUUGCCCACAAGGGAAACCCCAAAGGGCAAUCAGCCGACUUUUCAACAGAAACUUUGCAGGCCGGAGGGAGUGGCAUGAGGUAUGCAAAGUGCUGAACGGGAAGACACAUCCAAGUUCACUGCACUGUUCAGAACUAAAGAAAAGGGAGAGUGUCCCACACAAGCAGAAGUUGAAGGCAUUCAUCACCACUGUACUAGCCUUACAAGAAAGGUCUACAGAACUUCUUGAAGUAGCGAAGAAAAGGCUCUAGUUGGAAGAAAACUGAAAGGAAAAUUGUGAGCACAAACAUACACUACAGGUAGUAGAUCAAUC